CCUACGGGUAGCAGCCGUGAGGAAUAUUGGUCAAUGGACGAGAGUCUGAACCAGCCAAGUAGCGUGAAGGAUGACUGCCCUAUGGGUUGUAAACUUCUUUUAUAUGGGAAUAAAAUGUUCCACGUGUGGGAUUUUGUAUGUACCAUAUGAAUAAGGAUCGGCUAACUCCGUUCCAGCAGCCGCGGUAAUACGGAGGAGCCGAGCGUUAUCCGGAUUUAUUGGGUUUAAAGGGAGCGUAGGUGGAUUGUUAAGUCAGUUGUGAAAGUUUGCGGCUCAACCGUAAAAUUGCAGUUGAAACUGGCAGUCUUGAGUACAGUAGAGGUGGGCGGAAUUCGUGGUGUAGCGGUGAAAUGCUUAGAUAUCACGAAGAACUCCGAUUGCGAAGGCAGUUCACUGGACUGCAACUGACACUGAGGCUCGAAAGUGUGGGUAUCAAACAGGAUUAGAUACCCUGGUAGUC
rnacentral:rRNA from 1 species